GCGGAUGUAGCUCAGUUGGCUAGAGCGCCACGUUGCCAACGUGGAGGUCGAGGGUUCGAACCCCUUCGUCCGCUCCA
rnacentral:tRNA from 1 species